rnacentral:rRNA from 1 species
CAGCCGCCACGGUAAUACGAAGGGUGCAAGCGUUAAUCGGAAUUACUGGGCGUAAAGCGUGCGUAGGCGGUUAUAUAAGACAGAUGUGAAAUCCCCGGGCUCAACCUGGGACCUGCAUUUGUGACUGUAUAGCUAGAGUACGGUAGAGGGGGAUGGAAUUCCGCGUGUAGCAGUGAAAUGCGUAGAUAUGCGGAGGAACACCGAUGGCGAAGGCAAUCCCCUGGACCUGUACUGACGCUCAUGCACGAAAGCGUGGGGAGCAAACAGGAUUAGAUACCCGAGUAGUCCCUGUCUCUUAUAC